ensembl:misc_RNA Metazoa_SRP Metazoan signal recognition particle RNA
GCCAGGCGUGGUGGCGCACACCUGUAGUCCCAGCUACUCAGGAGGCUGAGGCAGGAUAAUCGCUUGACCCCGGGAAGCACAGAGGCUGCAGUGAGCAGAGAUUGUGCCAUUGCACUCCAGCCUGGGAAACAGAGUGAGACUCUGUCUCAA